rnacentral:rRNA from 1 species
AUUGAACGCUGGCGGCAGGCCUAACACAUGCAAGUCGAACGAGUGGCGGACGGGUGAGUAAUGUCUGGGAAACUGCCUGAUGGAGGGGGAUAACUACUGGAAACGGUAGCUAAUCCCGCAUACCAUCAGAUGUGCCCAGAUGGGAUUAGCUUGUUGGUGGGGUAACGGCUCACCCAGGCGACGAUCCCUAGCUGGUCUGAGAGGAUGACCGGCAACACUGGAACUGGGACCCGGCCCAGACUCCGACGGGAGGCAGCAGUGGGGAAUAUUGCACAAUGGGCGCAAGCCGGAUGCAGCCAGGCCGCGGGGAUGAAGAAGGCCUUCGGGUUGUAAGGUACGUUCAGCGGGGAGGCGUUACCCGCAGAAGAAGCACCGGCUAACUCCGUGCCAGCAGCCGCGGUAAUAC